UAAGGAAUAUUGGACAAUGGUGGCAACACUGAUCCAGCCAUGCCGCGUGCAGGAUGACGGCCCUAUGGGUUGUAAACUGCUUUUGUACGGGAAAAAACCCUCGUUCGUGAACGAGGCUGAUGGUACCGUAAGAAUAAGGAUCGGCUAACUCCGUGCCAGCAGCCGCGGUAAUACGGAGGAUCCAAGCGUUAUCCGGAUUUAUUGGGUUUAAAGGGUGCGUAGGCGGAUUAAUAAGUCAGUGGUGAAAGCCUACAGCUUAACUGUAGAAUUGCCAUUGAUACUGUUAGUCUUGAGUAUAUUUGAAGUGGGCGGAAUGUGCAGUGUAGCGGUGAAAUGCUUAGAUAUUGCACAGAACACCGAUUGCGAAGGCAGCUCACUAAACUAUAACUGACGCUGAGGCACGAAAGUAUGGGGAUCAAACA
rnacentral:rRNA from 1 species